AUUGAACGCUGGCGGCAGGCCUAACACAUGCAAGUCGAACGAGUGGCGGACGGGUGAGUAAUGUCUGGGAAACUGCCUGAUGGAGGGGGAUAACUACUGGAAACGGUAGCUAAUACCGCAUACCAUCGGAUGUGCCCAGAUGGGAUUAGCUAGUAGGUGGGGUAAAGGCUCACCUAGGCGACGAUCCCUAGCUGGUCUGAGAGGAUGACCAGGCACACUGGGACUGGGACACGGUCCAGACUCCUACGGGAGGCAGCAGUGGGGACUAUUGCACAAGGGGGGUAAGCCUGAUGCAGCCAUGCCGCGUGUAUGAAGAAGGCAUUCGGGUUGUAAAGUAAUUUCGGCGGGGAGGCGUUACCCGCAGAAGAAGCACCGGCUAACUCCGUGCCAGCAGCCGCGGUAAUUC
rnacentral:rRNA from 1 species